GAGCUCAGUGGUAGAGCACCUGCCUGGCAUGUAGAAGGUCCCAGGUUCAAAUCUAGGGUUGUCA